CUGGGGAUUCGAUCAGCCGAUUUCUAGCGCCAACAAAAGUUUUCAAUAUAUAAUUAAAAAGGUAAACGGGUUGUCAAACUAUGGACAGAAAAGAUGGUUCAUACAAAUACAAGCUGUGAACAUGCAUAUUUGAAGUUUGAUAUUUUAGAAAGUUUUGUACACAUAGUUUGAGAGUCUUUGAAAGUCAAAUAUGUAGUUUUCAAUACGUUGAUUGAAAGACGGGAUGUAGAAAGAAUCAUGUACAUGAUUUGAAAGUUUUUAAAAUUCGAGUAUGAAGUUCUAAAAUAUGUAAUUGAAAGUUAUGGGUGUAGAAAGUUUAGUAAAUGUAAUUUCUAUGGUUCUAAUAUUCUAUUUUGAAGUUUUGAAUAUGUGAAUUGAAAGUUAGGAGGUAGAAAGUUUU